UCCAGCUGUGUGAACAGUUUUUUUGUGUUAAGGACCUAAGAUGAGGCCAGAGAUGCCAUUGGACAGCAGCAGAAUUAUGCUGGUCAUCACACUGAAGUGGAAAUCAGCAGCUUUGCAUGGCAAGAAAUGGUUCCUGGGCCAGAAUUCUGGCUGAUGGCUGUGCUGGGAUCUUUUACUCAGAAAUGACAAUCCCACAGAAACAAAGAGCCCCACACUAGUACAAGAGCCUCACAGAAAACCACACUAACACUGAAAGCAAUAAGGCCUAGUAAGGAGAUCAGCAGUUGGAUCUGCAUAGCAGUUCUCCUAUGGAGUCCAGAUAUCACCCACAUUCUGAGCCAGACCUGCUUCUAGAGAACCAAGUGCAAAGUCUGGGAAUCAGCAUUAAUUAUGGAUUAUUGAGAAGAAGAUUCACACAUCUGUGAAGUCUCCCAUUCUGAGUGCAAAGCACUCUGCUUUAAGUGGCCCAGUCUGGGUACACACAGCUGGAUUUACUGGUUCAAAGAGGGCCAAAGAAGGGAAGAUGGGCAGCUGCGCAGAGACAUGAGAUUUCUCUGAAAACCAGCAUAUAGACACUGCAAGGUUGUGUAUCUGAUCAGUCUCCUGCUUCAUUUUUCUGAACUGUCAAAAGACUUCAGCCACCUGGUUGCUUGUCUCACAGAUAUAAACACUUCAAAUAAAAGGAUGUCAUUAGCA
rnacentral:lncRNA from 1 species